rnacentral:rRNA from 1 species
AUUGAACGCUGGCGGCAUGCCUUACACAUGCAAGUCGAACGGCAGCACGGGAGCAAUCCUGGUGGCGAGUGGCGAACGGGUGAGUAAUAUAUCGGAACGUGCCCAGUCGUGGGGGAUAACGUAGCGAAAGCUACGCUAAUACCGCAUACGAUCGAUGGAUGAAAGCGGGGGAUCGCAAGACCUCGCGCGAUUGGAGCGGCCGAUAUCAGAUUAGGUAGUUGGUGAGGUAAAGGCUAAACAAGCCGACGAGCUGUAGCUGGUCUGGGAGGACGACAGGCAACAAGGGAACUGAGACACGGCCAAGACUCCGAGGGGAGGCAGCAGUGGGGAAUUUUGGACAAUGGGCGCAAGCCUGAUCCAGCAAUGCCGCGGGCAGGAUGAAGGCCUUCGGGUUGUAAACUGCUUUCGUACGGAACGAAACGGCGAGCUCUAAUACAGUUUGCUAAUGACGGUACCGUAAGAAUAAGCACCGGCUAACUACGUGCCAGCCGCCGCCGUAA